AUGUACUGAGUUAUAGAAUUGUGCUUGGCCCUAGUGUAUGUUUAUCCCUUUGCACAUGAUCAUUUUAUGUUUAAGUUGUAUGUUUGAGAUGAUAUUUUUAUGAUGAGAGCUAGGCUUGGUGCAUGGUAGUAUUUCUAUCUCUGUAGUAUGGUACCAUAGUAGGUAUCACUCUUCGAGUGCAUACAAACAGAGCAUGCAUAGUCCAGGCUUAGUUGAUGAGAAAAAUUGCAAGUUUUAUAGAAAAGAAAGAGAAAGACGAGAAAAGAGAAAAGAAAAAAAAAAAGAAAGUAACAGUUUUAUGCCUAAGUAUGAUCAUGUAUGGGAG
rnacentral:lncRNA from 1 species